UCGGGAAUUUUGCGCAAUGGACGAAAGUCUGACGCAGCAACGCCGCGUGAGGGAUGAAGGCCUUCGGGUUGUAAACCUCUUUUCUCAGGGAAGAUAAUGACGGUACCUGAGGAAUAAGCCACGGCUAACUACGUGCCAGCAGCCGCGGUAAUACGUAGGUGGCGAGCGUUGUCCGGAUUUACUGGGCGUAAAGAGCGCGCAGGCGGUCGUGCAAGUCGCGUGUGAAAGCCCCCGGCUCAACUGGGGAGGGUCACGCGAUACUGCUCGACUCGAAGGCAGGAGAGGGAAGUGGAAGUCCCGGUGUAGUGGUGAAAUGCGUAGAUAUCGGGAGGAACACCAGUGGCGAAGGCGACUUCCUGGCCUGUUCUUGACGCUGAGGCGCGAAAGCUAGGGUAGCAAACGGG
rnacentral:rRNA from 1 species